AGUGAACGCUGGCGGUAGGCCUAACACAUGCAAGUCGAACGGCAGCACAGUAAGAGCUUGCUCUUACGGGUGGCGAGUGGCGGACGGGUGAGGAAUACAUCGGACUCUACUUUUUCGUGGGGGAUAACGUAGGGAAACUUACGCUAAUACCGCAUACGACCUACGGGUGAAAGCAGUGGAUCUUCGGACCUUGCGCGAUUGAAUGAGCCGAUGUCGGAUUAGCUAGUUGGCGGGGUAAAGGCCCACCAAGGCGACGAUCCGUAGCUGGUCUGAGAGGAUGAUCAGCCACACUGGAACUGAGACACGGUCCAGACUCCUACGGGAGGCAGCAGUGGGGAAUAUUGGACAAUGGGGGCAAGCCUGAUCCAGCCAUACCGCGUGGGUGAAGAAGGCCUUCGGGUUGUAAAGCCCUUUUGUUGGGAAAGAAAAGCAGCAGGUUAAUACCCCGCUGUUCUGACGGUACCCAAAGAAUAAGCACCGGCUAACUUCGUG
rnacentral:rRNA from 1 species